rnacentral:rRNA from 1 species
CCUACGGGCGGCAGCAGUGGGGAAUAUUGGGCAAUGGGCGCAAGCCUGACCCAGCAACGCCGCGUGAAGGAAGAAGGCUUUCGGGUUGUAAACUUCUUUUGUCAGGGACGUAGCAAGUGACGGUACCUGACGAAUAAGCCACGGCUAACUACGUGCCAGCAGCCGCGGUAAUACGUAGGUGGCAAGCGUUAUCCGGAUUUACUGGGUGUAAAGGGCGUGUAGGCGGGACUGCAAGUCAGAUGUGAAAGCGACGGGCUCAACCGUUGGCCUGCAUUUGAUACUGUAGUUCUUGAGUAUUGGAGAGGCAGACGGAAUUCCUAGUGUAGCGGUGAAAUGCGUAGAUAUUAGGAGGAACACCAGUGGCGAAGGCAGUCUGCUAGACAGCAACUGACACUGAGGCGCGAAAGCGUGGGGAGCAAACAGGAUUAGAUACCCGGGUAGUC